UGUGUGCGGCUUCAACUAAUGUUUCUGCAAUUGAAGCUAUGUGAUGGGGUUAUUGGCUGACUUUGAACAGUCGAGUUGCCUGGCAGCGACUAAAUGAAACAGCCGCCGGAUGCGCCCCAUUGGCCCCAGAAAUAUUCCCUAGUUAGACUUUAAUCUUUAUGCCAGCCUGUACAGGAGGACUUCAAACUAAGAUCAAACCACGGCAGGAAGAUGAACCAUGAGAUCAUUCUUUAUGGGAACCUGAAAAGUGGAGAUAACCGCCGGCCACUGUCAUUUAGAACUCACUAUCGGUUACCAACAAUCAGAACACCAAAGAGCAAUAUGAACAAAUGAUAGCUCAAACCCCAGAAGUUUAACUAGGUACGUGUCAGCUUGUAUAAAACAUCCGUUCACAGUCAGUGAAGUGCCCCCUCGGUGCCCGGGCGGCGGUGUUGCAUCUGCGAGAGUUUCUGAAUGUACAAACGAUUUAGUGAAACUGUAUUUUAAGACCAGCCUGAAGAGCUUGCUACUUGCAAUAUUCACACUAGAUACGUGACUAAAACGAAUUAAGCGAAAAGUUGAAUAAUAAUAUAGGACGGGGCGGCUGGAAUUGUGCACUUUCGUUUAAGAUUAAUAACCCAGAUGGAAGAAAAUCCAAGAGACAGUGUGUGUGAUUUA